UACAGAGGUCUCAAGCGUUGUUCGGAUUCAUUGGGCGUAAAGGGUGCGUAGGCGGCCAACUAAGUCAGACGUGAAAUCCCCAGGCUCAACCUGGGAACUGCGUCUGAUACUGGAUGGCUUGAAUUCGGGAGAGGGAUGCAGAAUUCCAGGUGUAGCGGUGAAAUGCGUAGAUAUCUGGAGGAAUACCGGUGGCGAAGGCGGCAUCCUGGACCGACAUUGACGCUGAUGAGCGAAAGCUAGGGGAGCAAACGGG
rnacentral:rRNA from 1 species